AGCGGGAGGAUUUGAGCUGCCGGUGAGAGGGCUGAUGGAAGUGGAGUCUGCAUAGAGUUGGAAAGUUUGUCUUUAUCAUCGUUUCGUAGGAGUGGGACGACUGUCUCUUUGAGAGCUCGCUGGAGGUGAGCAAACAUCCAGUUGAAGAUGUUAAUCGCUUGGAAAAGAGCUGCGUCCGAGUGGACCAUUGCGUGGAUGCGUGUGGAGCGUCUUGAUCCCAGCUGAUCAGAAGUGUGGCGUCUGGAGGAGAAGGGUUCCAUGUGGAUGUGGAUGUGGUGGUGAAGGAGAUAUCAUGUUGGUACUGCUGGAUCUAGUCGUGGGCAUUAUGUUGCCGAGGAACGUGGAUCACGGAGCACGGACAGGAGAUCUGCAAAACUGAGCACAAAACAGCCUGAGUGAUGAGACUGGAGGAGGCUCUCCAGGGCCGUGGAUGUUUCCAACUCGUCUUGAACUCCUGUGGAGGCGUACGUGCUAAGAAUUGGAAUAAAGUUUCCAAAGUGCCCAGUACUCCAGGCAUGCUGUUGCAGUCUCUCAGGGUGAACUUGACCUCGAUGUAGAUCCUCCUGGCUCCUUCACGAGGGAUCCAGCCCGUCCUCAGCCAGUUGUUCUGGCUGGGGCUCAUCACAUUACAGACCUGAUUCGAAAUAAUAUGUAAUCAGGUGAAGAAGCCUAAGCUGAAAUGAAGAUGAAUCUGCGAUCGUGAUAGUCAGAAUGGUAGAAAUAUGUAUCCUUGCAAAUCAUAAAGCGUUCCCGGUUUUGUGUCAUAAAGCAAACAGAUUCCAAAAAACUAAAUCCAGUGCACACAAUGUAAAAUGCAGUGCAGGUGAUACACUCUGCAGCAGGUCUUUACUGAAAUCAUAGUAAUGUCUCAAAUGAAUGUGGAGGUUACUUCCUGAUGUUAAAACAUUUCAUAUAGCAUCUUACUGGUUUAGCAUUAUAGAAAUAUAUAAGUUCUAUGGCUUGUCCAUCCAUGUGUAUAGUCUUAUAUUUUUUCAUGUUUUAAUUUUUCAAAACUUUGAAAUUUGACUACUGUUAAGCCUACAAACAAUUAACUGAUGAAUGAAUCAAUCUCCCUACUAGAAUUUUACUGGAGAAGCUUUGAAACAGCAAAUAUAAGUAUAUAAGUUAUAGACUUGGGUCACAACUAUUGAUCAUUUAUCUGAUGAUAUUAGUUUUCUCAGUUGUUUAACUGAAAAUGUCAGAAAUUUGUGGAAAAUGCCCAUCACUGUCCAAGGUGAGUCCAAGGUGAUGUCUUCAAAUAGCUUGUUUUGAUCAACAAACAGAACAAAUGUCAAAUGUUAUUAAAUUUGCUAUCAUACAAUUAUUCACUGGAACCUCUGAGUUUUUGACAUUUUCGCUCAAAAAGUUUUUUAUACAAUUAAAGUUGUUGAUGAUUAAUUUUCUGUCAAUCAACUAAUCGUUUCAGCUUUAUUAUAGACGGUUGUUAACUGAAUAAGUAAUAGAUAAAAAAAAACAAACAACUUAAGACCCUUUGGUGUCUUUUCUGGGGAUCACGGGGUCUCUCAAUGUUGUGACCACCACAUGUGAUAUGAUUCUACAGGUUGGCAGAGAGCACCAGGUAAAACAAAAUAAACUUUCUCAACAGGAAUUGUGGCAUAAUCUUUAAUAUUAAUAAUAACAACAAAUAUGAUACCAUUUAAUUGAACAGAUAGUAAAGAACAACUUCUGAUUAAUUAUCCACAGUUUGUGUUUUACAGUCACACUUCAUUCACCGUGAACAAUCCCAGUUUCCCAGGAAAACAAAGUGAUCCUGGAGAUUAUUAUAAUAAUCCUAAUAAUACAUUCAACCCCACCGCACACUGAAAG